AUGAAAAGACUACAGCGCGAGAUGCAGCCGGCGAAGGUGAAGCCGGCGCCGGAGCCCAGGACCAAGGGCGCCGCGGCGCCUGCGCGGGCGCUGGCGGCGGAGGCCUUCACGGCGCGCGAGCUCGACGCGGCGGAGCAGCUCAUCCAUCUCAGCGAGAGCAGCGCGUCCUCGGGCACCACGCGCGCCCACCCCGUCGCCUACGCCGCGGCCUCGGGCGGCUCCUCCCGGCGCUCCGUCAACGGCCUGCAGGCGCCGGCGUCGGGCGCGGUUUUCCUUGGCGGUUGCGCGAACCGGGAGGAAGAUGAGGAGCAGGAGGUCGCCGGGAGCCAGCGGAGGGGGAAGCGGUACCGCCUGAUCGCCGAGAUCUACGCCGCGACGGAGGAAAUCGGAGGCCGCAGCGGCCGGAAGAACAGAAAGGAUUAG
rnacentral:rRNA from 1 species